ACAGUCGAAGAACUCUUAUAAAAACUAUAUUGAACAGCCCGACAAACAAUGGAGUAAUAUAACAAGACAGACAUGAAACAAAUAUAGGUCCGAGCAAACAGUUAUGAUAUAGUGAAUUUAUCUAUAACAGAAAACAACAAAAAUCUUUUAACAAAAAUUAGCACGUGCUCGAUUCAAAACAUAUUUUUAAAGUGUAGUGUAUUAAUUUUGG
rnacentral:lncRNA from 1 species